CGUCUUUGAAAGGAUAACUGCGGAGAUCCCUGUGAGAGACGAGGCGAAAGAAAGUAGAGCUAAGAAGAGAGAGAGAGAGAGAGAGAGAGAGAGAGAGAGAGAGAGAGAGAGAGAGAGAGAGAGAGAGAGGUUCAGGAACGACUGCUAUUGGCAACCAGAGCCCAGAAGAACGCUCGAGUAUAUAUAGAGGCGGCUUCCAAGUCCAGGACAAGCAGAGUUCUGUGCCCUCGACAUCCCAAGAAGCAGCAGACGAUUCUCUCCUGAUUGUUCAUCAUGAAAUCGGUCGCCUUCGCCCUCCUGCUCCUGGUGGCUAUCUUCGCCUUCAUGGAAGUGGCUCAAGCCAUGCCGGAGCCAGAGCCAGUGCCAGUGCCAGAUCCUCACCGAGGCUUUUAUGGAUACCGCCCCUGGGGCUUUGGGGGUUACGGAUACAGGCCCUGGGGCGGAUACUGGGGCUGAUCCACUUGCCUGACGAAGGUCACGGAAGCUGCCCUGACGAUCGUAAGUUCCUCCCUCUAGAGAAAUCAAUCGGUUUUUGGAAACUUCAACAAACAAAGUCUUUUCUCGAUUACAAAACAUUGUUAUGUCUCUCUUCUCUUCCAAAUAAACGCUCAUGUUUCUCAUAAA